ACUCCUGCGGGAGGCAGCAGUGGGGAAUUUUGGACAAUGGGCGAAAGCCUGAUCCAGCAAUGCCGCGUGAGUGAAGAAGGCCUUCGGGUUGUAAAGCUCUUUUGUCAGGGAAGAAACGGUGAAAGCUAAUAUCUUUUGCUAAUGACGGUACCUGAAGAAUAAGCACCGGCUAACUACGUGCCAGCAGCCGCGGUAAUACGUAGGGUGCAAGCGUUAAUCGGAAUUACUGGGCGUAAAGCGUGCGCAGGCGGUUUUGUAAGUCUGAUGUGAAAUCCCCGGGCUCAACCUGGGAAUUGCAUUGGAGACUGCAAGGCUAGAAUCUGGCAGAGGGGGGUAGAAUUCCACGUGUAGCAGUGAAAUGCGUAGAUAUGUGGAGGAACACCGAUGGCGAAGGCAGCCCCCUGGGUCAAGGUUGACGCUCAUGCACGAAAGCGUGGGGAGCAAACAGGAUUAGAUACCCCGGUAGUCCCA
rnacentral:rRNA from 1 species